rnacentral:tRNA from 3 species
GCUUGAUUUAGAUCGGGAGAAUCGUACGGUUUUAUGAAGCAUGUGCUAUGGUUCGAAUCCGUAGUCAAUCC